rnacentral:rRNA from 1 species
GCAUCUUUAAACUAAGUUUCAACAACGGAUCUCUUGGCUCUCGCAUCGAUGAAGAACGCAGCGAAAUGCGAUAAGUAAUGUGAAUUGCAGAAUUCAGUGAAUCAUCGAAUCUUUGAACGCACCUUGCGCUCCUUGGUAUUCCUUGGAGCAUGCCUGUUUGAGUAUCAUGAAAU